GCAGCCACUCAUUCAAAGAGUGCGUAAUAGCUCACUGGUCGAGUGAUCCUGCGCCGAAGAUUUCCGGGGCUAAAACUUACUACCGAAGCUACGGCAUCAGUAAUGAUGGGGAGGGGAGCUUCCCAUACGGGUUGAAGCAUGACCGUAAGGACAUGUGGACAGGAUGGGAGUGAGAAUGUUGGCAUGAGUAGCGAGAUGUGGGUGAGAAUCCCACAGGCCGUAAACCCAAGGUUUCCAGGGGAAGGUUCGUCCGCCCUGGGUUAGUCGGGACCUAAGCUGAGGCCGAAAGGCGUAGGUGAUGGACAACAGGUUGAUAUUCCUGUACUACCGAUAACCGUUUGAGAGAUGGGAUGACACAGUAGGAUAAGCUAAGCACACUGUUGGUUAUGUGUGCCCAAGCAUUGAGGCAGUCAAAGUAG
rnacentral:rRNA from 1 species